AUUGAACGCUGGCGGCAUGCCUUACACAUGCAAGUCGAACGGUAACGGGCCUUCGGGUGCCGACGAGUGGCGAACGGGUGAGUAAUGCAUCGGAACGUACCUUUCAGUGGGGGAUAACGUAGCGAAAGUUACGCUAAUACCGCAUAUUCUGUGAGCAGGAAAGCAGGGGAUCGCAAGACCUUGCGCUGAUUGAGCGGCCGAUGUCAGAUUAGCUAGUUGGUGAGGUAAAGGCUCACCAAGGCGACGAUCUGUAGCGGGUCUGAGAGGAUGAUCCGCCACACUGGAACUGAGACACGGUCCAGACUCCUACGGGAGGCAGCAGUGGGGAAUUUUGGACAAUGGGGGCAACCCUGAUCCAGCCAUGCCGCGUGAGUGAAGAAAGGCC
rnacentral:rRNA from 1 species